AUGUGUUUCGCCAAGGUCCACUCUGAUAACAAUAAGAAUCAGAAGGCCCAACUGUGUCAGCCCUUUGAAAAAUUUGCUGAUGUGAUGGAAAAUUGAGAAUCAAAACAGGAAAGGUGAAGUCGAGCAUGAAAGAGCUGGAAGACAACGUCAAAGUGUGGUGUCUGGACACUGUGGCGGCUCAGUAUCAGAGACAGCACCUGGAGCUCACUCCUCCACUUGAGAAAGAAGGAGAUUAAUUAUGGUGCAGAGGCAACAGACUCCCUGUCCUAGAAGUUGAGGAUCCUGAAAUCAAGGAGCACAAGGAGCGCUUUUGUGACAAGGUCAGGAGAUGGUUCCAGGCCACACUGCAGUGGCUGCAGACUUGGUGGCAGAUGGUUGUGGCCUGGGUGAAGGAGAACGUGGAGGCCCUGGUCCAUGCAGUGCAGACCCUCUGGAAAGAGUUGGAGAGUUUCUGCUGCUCUGUGACAGAGUUCUUCAUGUCCUUUUUACAGUCCCAAGGAGCCCCCUGAGGGGAUGGAGGAGCUGACACCCCAGAAGUACUCUGAAC